rnacentral:rRNA from 1 species
GACGUAGGGCGCGAGCGUUGUCCGGAUUUAUUGGGCGUAAAGAGCUCGUAGGCGGCUUGUUGCGUCGGCUGUGAAAAUCCAGGGCUCAACCCUGGACCUGCAUUCGAUACGGGCAGACUAGAGUUCGGCAGGGGAGACUGGAAUUCCUGGUGUAGCGGUGAAAUGCGCAGAUAUCAGGAGGAACACCGGUGGGCGAAGGCGGGUCUCUGGGCCGAUACUGACGCUGGAGGAG